CAAUGAAUGUGAAGCGGCUCUGAUUUCCGGGGCAUGAAGGCUCUGCGCCGUACUGGUGCUGUGGAAGGAGAUACCGAGAUCCCGCGCUGGCUGCCUGAGGGGGGCUGUCCGCACAGCAGAGCCAGCCGAGUGCUCGUGUGUCUGCACCCCCUGCUUACGUUCACAGCCUGCCCCAUUAGCAUAAGCUGUGAACAGCAGUGACUGAAGUUGGGCAGUGCCAUACAGCAUCUGGGGAGGUGCACAAAGGAUCAGAGUAUCCUGGAGUGAGCACUGCCCAUCCUGCUCCCAAGGAGCAGCUGCACUGUCUGCAAACACUGCUCAUGCCCCGUGAGGCUGUCCGAGUUUCUUUACCACUGUAGAGAUGGAAAAUGAAUUUUGUGAAAUAUGUUCAUCUGAUUCAUGUCAAUAUGGAACAAUGCUAGGGCCUCAUGAUGAAAUGUGACCUUCUGUCUUACAUACCCUUGUAUAACCACAAGUCCAAGAGAAACAGUGGUUAGCAUAUAUAGUUCUUGUAUCUUGCAAAAGAAUGGUCUAGCAGUUUGUGUUGAUAGACGGUUUGAAGGGUAAACCUUGAGACUUGGGUCUGGGAGAUAAGAGAAUAGGGGGGAGUUUUUUGAGAUAACUGCUGACUAUUACACAAUACACAACUUUCUGACAUCCGGCCCAGAGACUACUAAAUAAGGAGAGGGGGGAAGCUGAAGAAUGACCAAAGGACAAAGCCUGGGAGGAAGACUAGGAGCCUUCAGUACGAGCACCCCCAGAGGGACCACCAGAGACUGAUACGCAUGCAUCCGUAGGAUGGUUCGGGUUCUGGGAAACUAAUUAUAAUAACCCUGCCUUUUCCAAAAGUGGUGAUGAAGAUGUAUUAGCCUAGGAGCAUAAAAAACAGCCGCCUGAUGUAACUUGUGUGUGUCUUAGUGGAGCAGAGAGUCCCAGCGCACCCAGCGCUGUUUGCUUGCCUCUAUUCGUUUAAUAAAUUGUAAACUUUAAUUGCAA